rnacentral:lncRNA from 1 species
GUCUGUUGGUGUUGUUUAUCCUCCAGGUCUCUGUCUGUUGGUGUUGUUUAUCCUCCAGGUCUCUGUCUGUCUGUUGGUGUUGUUUAUCCUCCAGGUCUCUGUCUGUCUGUUGGUGUUGUUUAUCCUCCAGGUGUCUGUCUGUUGGUGUUGUUUAUCCUCCAGGUCUCUGUCUGUUGGUGUUGUUUAUCCUCCAGGUCUCUGUCUGUCUGUUGGUGUUGUUUAUCCUCCAGGUCUCUGUCUGUUGGUGUUGUUUAUCCUCCAGGUCUCUGUCUGUUGGUGUUGUUUAUCCUCCAGGUCUCUGUCUGUUGGUGUUGUUUAUCCUCCAGGUGUCUGUCUGUUGGUGUUGUUUAUCCUCCAGGUCUCUGUCUGUCUGUUGGUGUUGUUUAUCCUCCAGGUCUCUGUCUGUCUGUUGGUGUUGUUUAUCCUCCAGGUCUCUGUCUGUUGGUGUUGUUUAUCCUCCAGGUCUCUGUCUGUUGGUGUUGUUUAUCCUCCAGGUCUCUGUC